UGACUGAAUAGCAUUUGUUGGAAUAGUCUCGUUCUGAGGCCAAAAGGAGAGAAAUAAAGGAACUAUGAGCAGUGCUUCUAACCAAGCCUUCACCGUACCUACUGCAAUUCAGGCAUUGCAAAAAGGUGUUGAGAAAUAUAUUUAGAACUGCUUCAGUUUGUGUGUUGUUUUUCAGGUUAAAAUGUUACACACUUCCAUCUAUCUCAUUUGUGUCCGGUGGGUGGGGCGAGAGAAAGGAGGGGGCGUUAAUACUGCAGGACGUUAAAUCGCACAAGUGGUUAAAUGACGUUAAGUGGUGUUGUGCCCUGCUUAAUUUUGGUCGCUGAGCAUCUCACUGCCAGCGCGGUUUUCCUGUCACAACUCGGCAGCGCGCACCUACAGAGCUGCUGCCGUUUGCCACGGAGCGAUCGAUACCCGCUCCAGCCGAGCCGAUACCGAACGCGAAGCCCCUCUGUGAGACACGGAGGAGCCCGUCCGUGCCACCGGCCGCAGGGGAAGGGAAGGGAGCCGGGGCGUGGAGCGAGGGCUGUGUCCGUGUUCGUGUCAGUGCCCCCAGCAGGUGGCAGCAGGGAGCGGCCGCCUCCCGCCCCAUCCCAACCGGAAGUCGCCGGGUGCGGGCAGCGCAAGCAGUGAAAGCAGUGCAGGCAGUACAGGCAGUGCAGGCAGUACAGGCAGUACAGGCAGCGGCGGGGCCCCGGAAGUCGCCCCCUGAGGCGGCGCCAUGCCGCGCCCCGCCGCGCUGCGAGGCUGCGGGGGCUGCAGGGCGGCGUGGGCGCCAUCUUAGCUGCAGCACGAGCGCUGCAGGUCGAGGCACACAGCGCGGGUCCCGCAGCGCUGCGGCCGGCGGAGACUUAAGCUUGCAAACGUUUUCUGGUCCUGUAAACCUUUUUUGGUCACAGAUGAGAGGGACAAAAGUCUCCAUUAAAAAAUACAGAGCAUCUGAAGUCACCAAAAGACACAUCAAGAGUAUCCUUCAUUGCUUGGAAGCAGAGGAUUUUAGUUCUUCAAAGAUCCAUAAAUACAGGAAAACAAACUUCAGCAUUCUUUACAGAAAUAGUGAAAACCGAUUAACAUUGAAUUACAAUGAAGAAAUGAGAACAAACAUAAAUGAGCUAACCGUGGGCCUCAGAAGAAAUCGUUGGACAAUGUUUCAGCCAUGA
rnacentral:lncRNA from 1 species